rnacentral:rRNA from 1 species
UACGAAGGGGGCUAGCGUUGCUCGGAAUUACUGGGCGUAAAGCGCACGUAGGCGGCUUCUUAAGUCGGUGGUGAAAUCCUGGAGCUCAACUCCAGAACUGCCUUCGAUACUGGGAGCUCGAGUCCGGGAGAGGUGAGUGGAACUGCGAGUGUAGAGGUGAAAUUCGUAGAUAUUCGCAAGAACACCAGUGGCGGAGGCGGCUCACUGGCCCGGUACUGACGCUGAGGUGCGAAAGCGUGGGGAGCAAACAGG